CCUACGGGGGGCAGCAGUGAGGAAUAUUGGUCAAUGGGCGCGAGCCUGAACCAGCCAAGUAGCGUGAAGGAUGACUGCCCUACGGGUUGUAAACUUCUUUUAUAAAGGGAUAAAAUGAGGCACGUGUGCCUUUUUGUAUGUACUUUAUGAAUAAGGAUCGGCUAACUCCGUGCCAGCAGCCGCGGUAAUACGGAGGAUCCGAGCGUUAUCCGGAUUUAUUGGGUUUAAAGGGAGCGUAGGUGGGUUGUUAAGUCAGUUGUGAAAGUUUGCGGCUCAACCUUAAAAUUGCCAUUGAUACUGGAAGUCUUGAGUACAGAUGAGGUAGGCGGAAUGUGUGGUGUAGCGGUGAAAUGCUUAGAUAUCACGCAGAACUCCGAUUGCGAAGGCAGCUUACUAAGCUGCCACUGACACUGAUGCUCGAAAGUGUGGGGAUCAAACAGGAUUAGAUACCCCAGUAGUC
rnacentral:rRNA from 1 species